GCAGGCAGGUCGGGCGCCUGGAUCGGUGAAGGCCCAUGCGGAACGGCGGUCCAGGCACACCCAGCCCCAGCAGGGCGCAUUUCCUCUGUGGCGGGUGCACCCCGACUGGCUGGGAAGCCCUCAGGGGGCAGAGGUGUCCAGUUAAAGGCUCGAAAGCAAAAGGGUCGAAUGCAAAAGGGUCGAGUGCAUUCGACGAAAACCAAAGGAUCGAAAAAUGUUUUAAAAAUAUAUCUUUUUUUUUUGCUCUAGUGUAGCUUUAAAAGGAUUUAUUUACCCAAAACUGGGGAAUUGACUCGACCCUUUUGUCAUUUGAGCCUUUUAUUUCGAGCCUUUGACCUAUAACCGGGGGCAGGUGGCUCUCUGCUCCAGCAGAGAGUGUUACAGCCCCCUGACAGCACUUAUGCUGUGUCCGCGGGGCAGAGGGAGCUUGACCACCACCGUGCCCUUCUCCGGCAACUGUCCUAGCCCCUCUUGGGGGGGGAGGUCUCCAGGGUAGCGAUGGGAAACGGGGCUCCCAAUGCGACUGUGGUGGACUGCCCUCAGAGCGCCCCGACCAUGUGGUACUGCCGGAUGGGGAGGCCCACAUAGGGUGCCAGGGGUCUGAGGUGAUGUCGGGUAACCACCCAACCAGUCUUGAAACACGGACCAAGGAGUGCGCGAGUCAGGGGGCUGAAUGAAACCCUGUAAUGUAAUGAUGGUGAGGGCUGGCGCUCGCCGAUUGCGGUGGGAUCCUGGUGCGGUGGGUGUUCCACUGACACGUCUAGCCCGCUCUGUCAGGGAGAUGGUGCAUGAGCGUGUGUGAUAGGACCGAAAGCUGGUGAACUCGGCCUGGUGGAGGUCGUAUCGGUCCCGAUGUGUAAAUCAGUCAUCUGACCUGGUUAUAGGGGUAAAAGACUUAUCGAACCAUCUAGCAGCUGGUUCUCUCCGAAGUUUCCCUCAGGAUAGCUGACGCAUGGAAACCUCUGUUUUAUCUAGCAAGCAAAUGAUUAGAGGUCUUUGGGCCAAAAUGAUCUCAACCUCAAACUUUAAAUGGGUAAGAAGCCCGGCUCGCUGGCGUGGAGCUGGCAUUGAAUGCAAGGGCCAGUCGGCAACUUUUGGAAAGCAGAACUGGCGCUGUGGGAUUAACCGAACUCUGGGUUAAGCGCGAUGCCGACGCUCAUCCGACCCCAGAAACUGUGUUGGUUGAUAUAGACAGCAGGAUGGUGGCCAUGGAAGUCGGAAUCCGCUAAGGGGUGUACAACUUACUGGCCGAAUCAACCAGCCCUGAAAAUGGAUGUUGCUGGAGCGUCGGGCCCAUACCCCUCCUGAGUAGGAGGGCUGCUGUGGUGUGCACAGAAAACCAGGGCGAGGGCCCGGGUGGACCCGCAGGUGCAGAUCUUGGUGGUAGUAGCAAAUAUUAAAACGAUUGAAGGCUGAAGUGGAGAAGGGUUCCAUGUGAACAGCAGUUGAACAUGGGUCAGUGGGUCCUAAGAGAUGGGUGAGCGCUGUUCAGAAGGCAUUCUGCCUUGGCCGACACCUAGCAGCUGACUUAGAACUGGUGCGUACCAGGGGAAUCCAACUGUUUAAUUAAAACAAAGCAUUGCGAAGGCCCGCGCUGGGUGUUGACGCAAUGUGAUUUCUGCCCAGUGCUCUGAAUGUCAAAGUGAAGAAAUUCAAUGAAGCGUGGGUAAACGGCGGAAGUAACUAUGACUCUUAAUGCAGCCAAAUGCCUUGUCAUCUAAUUGGUCAUGUGCAUGAAUGGAUGAAUGAGAUUCCACUGUCCCUACCUACUAUCUAGCAAAUACACAGCCAAGGGAACGGGCUUGGCAGAAUCGGCAGGGAAAGAAGACCCGGUUGAGUUUGACUCUAGUCUGGCACUGUGUAGAGACAUGAGAGGUGUAGGAUAAGUGGGAGGCCCUCGGCCACCGAUGAAAUACCACUACUCUUAUCCUUUUUCCACUUACCCGGUGAGUUGGGGGGUGAGCCCCAUGCGGCUCUCGCUUCUGGCUCCAAGGGGCCUGCCGGGCACGACCCGCUCCGGGGAUAGUGGCAGGUGGGGAGUUUGACUGGGGUGUUACACCUGCCAAAUGAUAACGCAGGUGUCCUAAGGAGAGCUCAGGGAGGACAGAAACCUCCCGCGGAGCAGAAGGGCAAAACCUAGCUUGUUCUUGAUUUUCAGUAUGAAUACAGACCGUGAAAGCAGGGCCUCGCGAUCCUGCUGACUUUUUGGGUGUCAAGCAGAAGGUGUCAGAAAAGUUACCACAGGGAUAAUUGGCUUGUGGCGGUCAAGCAUUCAUACUGAUGUCGCUUUUUGAUUCUUCGAUGUCAAUUCUUCCUAUCAUUGUGAAAUAGAAUUCACCAAGUGUUGGAUUGUUCACCCACUAAUAGGGAACGUGAGGUGGGUUUAGACCGUCGUGAGACAAGUUAGUUUUACCCUACCGAUGAUGUGUUGCAAUAGUAAUCCUGCUCAGUACGAGAGGGGCUGCAGGUUCAGACAUUUGGUGUGCAUGCUUGGCUGAGGAGCCAAUGGGGCGAGGCUACCAUCUGUGGGAUUAUGAAUGUACGCUUCUAAGUCAGAAUCCACCCCGCCCCCCAGACCUCUCUCCAUCUUUGGUUGGCCUAGGAUAGCCGGCCUCGGGGCCGGUGUGUAGAGCCGCUCGCCUUGGGACUGGGGUGUGGACAGAAGGGUGCCACCUCUCUCGCCCGUAGUGCACUGCAUGUUCGUGGGGAACCUGGUGCUAAAUCAUUCGUAGAGGACCUGAUUCUGGUUCAGGGUUUCGUAAGUAGCAGAGCAGCUACCUCGCUG
rnacentral:rRNA from 1 species